rnacentral:rRNA from 1 species
AGAGUUUGAUCCUGGCUCAGGAUGAACGCUGGCGGCGUGCCUAAUACAUGCAAGUCGAACGAGGUGCUUUUGUAGCAAUACGAGAGUAUCCUAGUGGCGAACGGGUGAGUAACGCGUUGGUGACCUGCCCCAAAGUGUGGGAUAACAGUCCGAAAGGAUUGCUAAUACCUCAUGUGGCCAUCGGGUUUAGAAGCCGAUGUCUAAAGCAGCAAUGCGCUUUGGGAGGGAUCUGCGUCCCAUCAGCUAGUUGGUGAGGUAACGGCUCACCAAGGCGACGACGGGUAGGGGACCUGAGAGGGUGGCCCCCCACAAUGGAACUGAAACACGGUCCAUACACCUACGGGUGGCAGCAGUAGGGAAUAUUGCUCAAUGGGCGAAAGCCUGAAGCAGCAACGCCGCGUGUGCGAUGAAGGCCUUCGGGUCGUAAAGCACUUUUCUGAGAGAUGAGAAAGGACAGUAUCUCAGGAAUAAGUCUCGGCUAACUACGUGCCAGCAGCCGCGGUAAAACGUAGGAGGCGAGCGUUAUCCGGAUUCACUGGGCGUAAAGCGCGUGCAGGCGGUUCGGUAAGUUGGGCGUGAAAUCUCCUGGCUUAACUAGGAGAGGUCGUUCAAUACUACCGAGCUUGAGAGUGGUAGAGGAAGAUGGAAUUCCAGGUGUAGUGGUGAAAUGCGUAGAUAUCUGGAGGAACACCAGUGGCGAAAGCGAUCUUCUGGACCAUUUCUGACGCUCAGACGCGAAAGCUAGGGUAGUAAACGGGAUUAGAGACCCCGGUAAUCCUAGCCGUAAACGAUGUAAACUUGGCGUUGGUGGCUUAAACUCCAUCAGUGCCGCAGCUAACGCGAUAAGUUUACCGCCUGGGGACUACGAUCGCAAGAUUAAAACUCAAAGGAAUUGACGGG